GAUGAACGCUGGCGGCGUGCCUAAUACAUGCAAGUCGAGCGAACAGACGAGGAGCUUGCUCCUCUGAUGUUAGCGGCGGACGGGUGAGUAACACGUGGAUAACCUACCUAUAAGACUGGGAUAACUUCGGGAAACCGGAGCUAAUACCGGAUAAUAUAUUGAACCGCAUGGUUCAAUAGUGAAAGACGGUUUUGCUGUCACUUAUAGAUGGAUCCGCGCCGCAUUAGCUAGUUGGUAAGGUAACGGCUUACCAAGGCAACGAUGCGUAGCCGACCUGAGAGGGUGAUCGGCCACACUGGAACUGAGACACGGUCCAGACUCCUACGGGAGGCAGCAGUAGGGAAUCUUCCGCAAUGGGCGAAAGCCUGGCGGAGCAACGCCGCGUGAGUGAUGAAGGUCUUCGGAUCGUAAAACUCUGUUAUUAGGGAAGAACAAAUGUGUAAGUAACUAUGCACGUCUUGACGGUACCUAAUCAGAAAGCCACGGCUAACUACGUG
rnacentral:rRNA from 1 species